rnacentral:lncRNA from 1 species
CGGUGGAAGAAGAGGCUAAAAUCGAAACAUAACAGACAGAAAAAUAUAAAGACUAGAAGAAACAGCACUUCACUUUCUCUUUCCAAAAAUUCAGAGAACCACCAAAAUCUGGUGGAUUACCUCCACCGAUCUUCUGGAUUUGAGAUGUAACCUGGCGUGCGAGAGUUUCUCACAUGAGGGGUGCAAUAAGACAAGGAGCCAGCCUCAAUGGACAUAG